CGAACGCUGGCGGCAGGCCUAACACAUGCAAGUCGAGCGAGGACUUCGGUUCUAGCGGCGGACGGGUGAGUAACGCGUGGGAAUGUGCCCUUCUCUACGUAAUAGCCCUGGGAAACUGGGAGUAAUACCGUAUACGCCCUAUUGGGGAAAGAUUUAUCGGAGAAGGAUCAGCCCGCGUUGGAUUAGGUAGUUGGUGGGGUAAUGGCCUACCAAGCCGACGAUCCAUAGCUGGUUUGAGAGGAUGAUCAGCCACACUGGGACUGAGACACGGCCCAGACUCCUACGGGAAGCAGCAGUGGGGAAUCUUAGACAAUGGGGGCAACCCUGAUCUAGCCAUGCCGCGUGAGUGAUGAAGGCCUUAGGGUUGUAAAGCUCUUUCAGCUGGGAAGAUAAUGACGGUACCAGCAGAAGAAGCCCCGGCUAACUCCGUG
rnacentral:rRNA from 1 species